rnacentral:rRNA from 1 species
GACGAACGCUGGCGGCGCGCCUAACACAUGCAAGUCGAACGAGGUCUUUUAGAAAAGCUUGCUUUUCUGGCUGACCUAGUGGCGGACGGGUGAGUAACACGUGAGCAACCUGCCGGAAAGAGGGGGAUAACGUCUGGAAACGGACGCUAAUACCGCAUAACAUACCUGAGGGGCAUCCCUUGGGUAUCAAAGGAGCAAUCCGCUUUCUGAUGGGCUCGCGUCCGAUUAGGUAGUUGGUGAGGUAAAGGCCCACCAAGCCCACGAUCGGUAGCCGGACUGAGAGGUUGAUCGGCCACAUUGGGACUGAGACACGGCCCAGACUCCUACGGGAGGCAGCAGUGGGGAAUAUUGCACAAUGGGGGAAACCCUGAUGCAGCGACGCCGCGUGAGUGAAGACGGCCUUCGGGUUGUAAAGCUCUGUCGACAGGGACGAUAAUGACGGUACCUGUCAAGAAAGCCACGGCUAACUACGUGCCAGCAGCCGCAGUAAAAC